rnacentral:rRNA from 1 species
AAUCAACGCUGGCGGCGUGCCUCAGACAUGCAAGUCGAACGCGAAAGUUCCCUUCGGGGAGCAAGUAGAGUGGCGCACGGGUGAGUAACACGUAGGUAAUCUACCUUCGGAUGGGGAAUAACAACCGGAAACGGUUGCUAGUACCGCAUAAUGCAGCGGCACCUAAUGGUGACAGUUGUUAAAGCGGGGGAGUCGAAAGACCUCGCGUCUGAAGAGGAGCCUGCGGCGGAUUAG